AGCGAGCUAUCAUCUUUGCACCUUCCAUGGCUUCCUGACUCAUAAAUGAUGAAAAUACAAAGUAAUCCAAUAAUUUCUUUUUAGCUCCCCAAAAAACACAGAAAAAACAUCGCCCAAGUCCCAAACCAAAGCCUGUACCAAGUCCUGAAGUAACCGAGUCCAAACCAGUUCUUCCAAGAGUACGUGAACCUGUGACACUCAGAACUGAGACUUGGGUGACAACAAAAGCUCCUAAAACACCAAAACGAACCCGUCGUCCACGCCCCAAACCUCAAACCACACCAACUCCUGAGACUCCUCUAACCAAACCUGUUGCUGCUACAGAUCUCGAACCCAGUGCUCUUAGCACCGAAGUACCUGCGACCGUGGUUCUUGCUACAGCCCUCACACCUGUCACUCUUAGGACCAAGGCUCCCAAGACA
rnacentral:lncRNA from 1 species